rnacentral:rRNA from 1 species
AGAGUUUGAUCCUGGCUCAGAACGAACGCUGGCGGCAUGCCUAACACAUGCAAGUCGAACGCUCGUCUUCUGACGGGAGUGGCGCACGGGUGCGUAACGCGUGGGAAUCUGCCCAAAGGUACGGAAUAACUCAGGGAAACUUGUGCUAAUACCGUAUGAUGCCGAAAGGCCAAAGAUUUAUCGCCUUUGGAUGAGCCCGCGUAGGAUUAGCUUGUUGGUGGGGUAAAGGCCUACCAAGGCGACGAUCCUUAGCUGGUCUAAGAGGAUGAUCAGCCACACUGGGACUGAGACACGGCCCAGACUCCUACGGGAGGCAGCAGUGGGGAAUUUUCCGCAAUGGGCGAAAGCCUGACGGAGCAACGCCGCGUGUGGGAGGACGGCCCUAGGGUUGUAAACCACUUUUCUCUGGGAAGAAGUCUGACGGACCAGAGGAAUAGC